UGCGCUGGGGCGUAUUCUCGCGCUGGGUUGUCCAGACCCGCCUCCCCGGGCCCCUCCUCUUUGAAAUCUUGUUUGCUGAACCAGGUAGUCUUCCAUCGGUUUCCGUAGCUGGGAAUUGAUUUCCAAAGCACGACGAAGUCAUAGCGUCUGGACGCUUUUUAAAUUCAUGACGAAUAUUUAAUCUGAUGAAUAUUUAUUUCAAUCAAUGAUUAUUCUCACACAAUUGUGCCAAUAUUGAGUAUCAUUUAAUUUAGGAAUAUCCUGCAGUUAUUCUAGACUCCAGUUGCGAGCCACUUUUCCUUCGGAAACCAGGAGAGAACUCAGUUGAGGAUGAAAAAAAGGAAGACAGAUCCUCCAAAAGGAGCUCAACUGUCAUAAAUCCCCUCUCCAGGAGUCUCGUCAACCAGAGAAAAUCGACUCUUAUUAACCACCGGAGACUAGAAGUCACACCACACUCCGAGAGACUUUGUCACAAACAGAUCUCCCACCUAUUGUAAGGGCCCAUUCAUCUUUCAAAAAAAGUCAUUUAGGGUCGCCUGGGUGUCUCAGUCGUUAAGCGUCUGCCUUUGGCUCAGUUCAUGAUCCCAGGGCUCUGGGAUCAAGUAUCUCAGCAGGAAGCCUGCUUCUCCCUCUCCCACUCCCUCUGCUUGUGUUCCCUCUCUCGCUGUGUCUCUCUCUGUCAAAUAAAUAAAUAAAAUCUUAAAAAUCAUUUACUCUCUCCUGUGUGACAUACAUCCUCCAACCCCUUCCCCUGUUGAGAUGGUAUAAGCUCAAAUCUCAGUGCUUUUUUGGGUAUUCACUUUUUGUUCCCUGUGGUGACCCUGUGCAUGUUGUAUUAAAAACUAAUAAAUUUGUAUACC